AAUUACAGUUUUUAUAUAAAAUGAAACUGUCAGUACCGUGUCGGAACUCAAGAAGUAUUACAUCAUCAUAGAAAUUGCAAAUAAUUCUGUUAAACUCAAAAUAAUAAAUCAUCUAGCGAGAAUGUACUUCAGGGAAGUUCAUGGAAACACAUACGUUUUUUAUGGUGUCAAAAACUGCAAAUUCCUAUGGGAAAUCAUCGUGCAAAUUUACAUGGGAAUUCAUACUCAAUUUCCAUAUGGAUUUGAAACGCGUGUGGAUUCGCAUAAA